ensembl:lncRNA
GAUAAUAAUAACCAUCUAACUCCCAGAGUUAUUUGAAGGAUCAAAUGAGACAAAUUAUUAAUAUUAAAUAUUGCUUGUCUUUCUUGAUCAGUUUCUGAGGGCUAAAGGUGGCUGUCCCCCAAUUUGGGUUUACGGUAAAAAAAAAAACUUCCUGAGUGGAAUGCUCUGCCCCCGGGAGAUGUUGAGCUUUCUAUUACUGGUGGUUUUCCUCAAGAGAUUCUCUUGGUGGGGAUUCCUGGUUUGGUCUUGAUGGAUUCUUUCUUAAAUGCCUUAAAAAGCCAAAAACAUUUUCUUUUGAGCUACUACAUACAUCUCUUGGUUAGUGAAGGAAAAUCUGUGAAACCUCGCGAUAUCUACUUACUUCCUGUAAGCUCCAGGUAAGGUGGAGAGGAAGUUCAUAAAGAUGGCGGUCUCAAUAAAUCACCAACAAGUCUUUUCAUCAAAACAAGGUCCAAACUUAAGCCCUAUUUCAGAAUAGGAGGGAAACAGUCCCUUGUGUUGAUUGGUUAAAACCCACUUGAAUUAGGACAAUUGGUUCUGUAAAUGGCGCAUUCCGAUUAGCUAGCUUGAGAUAAGAUUGUAACUCAAGUUAUCACCAGCCAAUGGUGAACGAGGGGAGGGACUAUCUGAGUCAGGGACCAGGAUAAAAGGAGGCUGCCUGCUCCCGUCCUUUGUACUUCCUUACCAGCUGGAAUACUCUUGGGUGGGUGAAAUAGAUGAGCCUGACUCAAUGACUGAGAUUCUUUUGAGUAGGUGGUCAUUUCUCUCAUAAGGGAAGAGAACAUAAUCAGAGGCAGAGGGGCCCUUAGAAGUCUAACCAUUUCUUUUUUCAGAGACUCAGAGACUUAACAACCAUUGAUUAAUAUGCUAAUUGCCUAGGGAAAAUUGAAGAAGCGUCUUUUAGGGGAAGAAGAAUCUUGAAAUCAUGAAAAAAGAAGUCUAUACUGAGAGCCCAAAGAGGAAAUAAUGGUCACAUGGCUUGCCUUUAAAAAAACAAACAACCCUUUUGUCUUAAUGAUUCUAACCAUCUGUUCUCAGAUCUCCACUUGCUUCUUGAUUCCUUACUAGUUCUGAAGAAUUCUCCAAGAAGCCCUCAAAACCUGAUCAGAAAAGAAAGCCCUUUCCUUAAAGUGAAGCAGGACCCUUCUACUCACUCAUCCUUUUCUGCCUGUCAUUCUUCCAACACUCUCUCCAAGCCUAAGCACUGGGAUCUAGUUGUUUGGGUUCUUCCAUGUCCUCUCCUUUCCCCUAUCUCCACCCCUGAGCCCAAGAGUUAAUGUGUUAUUGCUUGGGUUCUUCCAUGUCCUCUCCUUCCUCUACCCUCAUCCCACCACCCCCAAGACCAAGAACUAAAGUGAGAUCCAUUUACUUGGGUUCUUCCAUGUCCUUUCCUUUCCCCUAUCUCCACCUCUGAGCCCAAGAGUUAAUGUGUUAUUACUUGGGUUCUUCCAUGUCCUCUCCUUCCUCUACCCUCAUCCCACCACCCCCAAGACCAAGAACUAAAGUGAGAUCCAUUUACUUGGGUUCUUCCUUGUCCUCUCCUUUCCCCUAUCUCC